CCGCGCUGAGAGCGAGAUCCACCCCCCCAGCCCCCCGGGAAGUUCAGGGGUGCUGCGAGGAUGCUGCAGUGCCCGCGGUGAGCUCGGAAUGCCACUAAUGAAGAGCCGUUCUGCUAACUGCGUUCAGGUUCACCCUGAGAGUGGCCGUGCCCAGCAGCUGCCUGCAGCAGGUGGAGGAAAACGGGCUCCAAAAAUCCCCCUGGAAAGAUUUUGGGGCGGAGGGAAAGAGCCACCUGAGCGCUGUCACCACUGCAGCAGUACUAGUGCGAGAGCUCUUACACUGGCGGUUCGCGUGGCAUGAACCCAGGGUGAAAAAUCGAGAAUUAUUGGUAUCAUCCAUUCGCUGGCGACUGCUAGAGGGAGCGCCGAUGUUUCCCUGUGCCUUAUCCAUCCCUCAGAGGGAUCCACUUGUGUGUUUGCCAGGGCUGCAGCAAGCCUGCAGAGCUGCCACCCUGCCCGUGGCAGCUGUGCAGAUGGCUUCAUCCUCACUGAAGUGAAAUUAUAGAAUCACAGAGUGAUUUGCAUUGGAAAAGACCUUAAAGACAGUCUCAUUCCAAUCCCCUGACAUGGGCAGGGACACCUUCCACUACACCAGGCUGUUCCAAGCCCCAUAGAUAGGGAUGCUUUGGAGACCAUGGCCCAUGUGGCUGUACCUCCCCAAUCCAUCUCUACAUCCCAAACCUGCAGGCAGCCGUGCUGUGAGUUGUCACCUGAGCCACCCGUACCUGGAAAAGUUCACAAAUGGGUUUAGGAACUGGGCAGGAGCCCCCAUGGCAGUGGGGUGGGAGCCUCACAGAAACAGGAGUGGGUGUGGGAAGCACAGCGAGGAGCCGGGACGGUGAACAAGGACUCUUGCUAAGGGGAAAGUCAGAGAAAAUCAUGAGCCAUAAGGAAAGGGGAGAAACAGCCCUGCACAGUUUGCUAAACCUUCUGAUAUUUGCCUAAAUUCAGGCUUUUGGCUGAACAAGCUGAGAAUUUGGAGCAGUUCACUGAACUUCAGGGUAUCCUUCUGCAGCACCACUGGCACUGCAGAGCCCGAAUUCAAAAUGCAGUAAAAAGGAUAAAAAAGGGCUCCUGUUCCUGAGACCUGCAGGGAUGGCUCCAGGAGAGGCUUGAGAUGAGCUUUUACCAGGAGGUUGGCAGCUCUGCAGGGAGUCUGUGUCCCCAGGGGAUGGGAGUCCCUGGCCGUGUAGAUGAGGCAUAAAGAGAUUGGGAAUAUUUCCUAAGGACACAAAGGAAACCUGAGUCGAUGUCAGAACAAUUCCCAGCUGAAAGGGCUGUGAGUAUCACCAGCUUUGUUCAGCACAUACUCGAAAAUGGACCUUCUGUGAUGGGAAAAAGAUAUCCAAAGCGGGAUUUUUGAUCCGUGCCUCAGGUUUGCUCUGCCCUGGCAUACUGUAGGGCCAGCUUCCAACUGGCCCCUUCCAAAUAUCACCAGAGGCAUCUGUAUGGCCAUUUAUCACCAAGAAAAUCCAGUCCAAGAGACCAGCAACUCCAGCAGCAAUCCCCAGGAAAAGCACAGCGUGGCCCAUGUUCCACAGUCUCUUCCAGCACAUCUCCACUAAGUAAUUCCCAUCAAAGUUACAAUGGUUGUUAAUAUCUACAAUUUUUUUCCCCUCUGCAAAGGUCACAAUGUAAUUUGUGUAUUUAUAACUGUGUUUCAUCCCCUUCUCACUCAUAAAAUACAGAGCACCAACUCUUUCCUUCCUCGGCUGGGAUAUACAGCAGCAUCUUAAUGCAAACCUUGCUGAUGUGGCACUGCUGUAAUAACUUGUUAACGUAAAAGUUAUUAACUUAUAAGUUAUUAAAACUGAAUUAAACAGAGCUAAGGAUGGACAGAUUAAAAAUUUGAGUGAA